GAGGGCUGUUGUUCCUCCACGUAGUUAAAGACCGAGAGAGUUGUCGGUUAAGCGCAUGCAUACGAGGGUUUGCGAACAGUAACAAUAACACUGAAGCGGAAUAAAAAUAAGGUUUCGUGGAAGAUGGCGUUAGGAAGGUAUUAGGCGACGUGCCCGCCUGCCUAAUAACCUAGCCCUAAUUGCUGUGUGUAACGUUUCCAGACCGUUUACCCUGCAACGUGUGGUGCAAAGUGCCGUAUUAAGACCUUUCCCUUAAGGAAAAGAAGAAGAAAAAAAGAAAAAAAAGGGGGAAAAAGAAAACAGGGUAAAGAGAAAAAGAUCAUGCAUAAACCUAAGCGUUUCACUGGAAGUAAAACGCGAGUUUAUCGCUUCCUUACAGAGAUGGAACCAAGGACAGCAAAUGCUGACGAGGAGAAGAGACGGACGAGCGUUUGCUUGCGGUUAAUACCGAAGGGACGGGAUGAAACAAGGAAGCCAGAAUGCAGCGGCCCCUCGAUAUCACCAGGAACUGCUACAGGAGGCGGCGUUCUGGCACGGGUAACUAGGAUUAAUUGCCACGGCUGAAGUUGAAGAGACCAAGAAACGUAAGCCGCGAAGGGGCACAUCUUGAAGAGAGGGGGCUAGACCUAGCGAUGCAGUUGUUCGUUUUGGUCGUCGCCUGUGAGGCCAGCAUGCAAGAGUAAGAGGAAGCUAGGAGCAGUCUCAAAAAGAGGUGGAACCAAGGACAGCAAAUGCUGAUGAGGAGAAGAGACGGACGAGCGUUUGCUUGCGGUUAAUACCGAAGGGACGGGAUGAAACAAGGAAGCCAGAAUGCAGCGGCCCCUCGAUAUCACCAGGAACUGCUACAGGAGGAGGCGUUCUGGCACGGGUAACUAGGGUAAGUAUGGCUAAUGACCGUUAGCAGUUAUUUUGGCCUCCCCGAGGCAGCGCUGAGGACUAAGUAACCUGAGGGGCUCUGGCCUGGGUUGGGGCAGAAGUGCAGGCAGGCGGGAUCAGGCAUUUUCCUCUAAGCUCUCCGAGCGGAAUCCUAGCCCUGAAGGAAAAAGCACUGGGGGGAGGCUACUCGGACACCUGCCAUGUCGAGGGCAGGGGCAGGAGCUGACCCUUCCCCGACGGACGUACGUACGGACAGACGCUGGUGCGGCGGUGACUCUUUGGAUAUCGUAGGUAAGGGGAGGCACGCUGGUGCCGAGCUCCAGGGCGGUUUGCCUGAACACGAUGCCUGAGGCAGGAGGUUAUGCAUUGUGUCCGGGGCUGGGAGCUGGUCCCCGAGUCCCAUGUACUUGGGAGUGCCUGCACUUGCCAGGGAGCCCGGUGCUGUUCCCAGAGCUGCGGGGAAUUUCCCUUGCAUUGCCUGGACCCUCGGGGCUCUUGGGGGUGUUUCCCCUCAUCGCGAGGGCUGCCAGAGCCCCUCCAGGGCUGCGUGAGGUCCCCGAACCGCUCCCGGAUUUGCUUUUGGCACUCCGCAGUGUCGCUCGUGUGCCUGGGGCAGCCUGCAGGCGCCAUCCUGUCAGCCGCGUUGAGCCCUGCGGCGUGCCUGGUGACCCCUCUGGUGUGCGCCAAGGCCCUUCCUCUGUAUUUUGGUCUGCCCCAGAGCCCUGCACUUGCCCUCUGAUGCCCUCAGGACCCCUCAGUUCACAUUCUGGGUUGCCCCCGAGCCCUCUGCGUGCCUUUCGGUGCGCCCCGUGGCCCCGUGUGUGUUUUGCGGCACGCCGCAGAGGUCUCUGUUUAGCUUUUUCUCCUGUCCUGGAGUUUUCUGGGUGCUUCUGGGUGUGCCCCAGGGCCCUCCUUUUGGUGCCCCCCGAGUCACUCUGUUUGCUCUAUCGUUGUUCUUUUUUUUUUUUUUUUUUUUUUUCUUGACUUGUGUUGCACCCAGAGCUCUCGAUUUGUUCUUUUGUGCUCCGCAUACUCCCCUUUCCGCACUCUACACCCCAGGCAGGGCUCUCCCUUCAGCUCUCAGCAAGCUGCUGUCAGGAGAGUGGGGGUGCCUCUGCUGCCCUGGCAGCCCCAGCUGUCCCUGAAGGGGCUGAUGGCCAGGCCCCCUGCCCAGUUCCUGCAGGCCCACAGCUGCGGGCCCUGGGGCUGGGAUGAAUGCCAGGGGGAGCUGGGUGGCAGGACAGGCCCCAGGUGGGGCUGAUGGCAAGGGCAGGCCCACAUUUGGGGGCUGGGGCUGCAGUUGGGGGGAGCUGGCGCUGGGGCAGGAGCUGGGCAGCGGAGCUGCCACGGAGCACGGCCCUUCGGGACCAGCCCGGCGGCCGCCCCGCAGAGGAGGUGAGCGGGGCCGGGGGAGGCGCACUGCAGGCUGGGGGUCCCGCAUGUGCCGGGGGUCCCGGCGGCUGGGAGCGUCCCGGGGCCACGGAGGCGGGGGGAG